GCGGCAGGCCUAACACAUGCAAGUCGAGGGGUAACAGAGAGAAGCUUGCUUUUCUGCUGACGACCGGCGCACGGGUGCGUAACGCGUAUACAAUCUGCCUUAUACAGAGGGAUAGCCUUUAGAAAUGAAGAUUAAUACCUUAUAGUCUAUUUUUAUAGCAUUAUAUAAAUAGUAAAGCUUCGGUGGUAUAAGAUGAGUAUGCGUCCUAUUAGUUAGUUGGUAAGGUAACGGCUUACCAAGACAACGAUAGGUAGGGGCCCUGAGAGGGGGAUCCCCCACACUGGUACUGAGACACGGACCAGACUCCUACGGGAGGCAGCAGUGAGGAAUAUUGGACAAUGGAGGCAACUCUGAUCCAGCCAUGCCGCGUGCAGGAUGACGGCCCUAUGGGUUGUAAACUGCUUUUAUAUAGGAAGAAACCUUUUCACGUGUGAGAAGCUGACGGUACUAUAAGAAUAAGGACCGGCUAA
rnacentral:rRNA from 1 species